GAUCCUGCUCAGAUUGAACGCUGGCGGCAUGCUUUACACAUGCAAGUCGAACGGCAGCACAGGGAGCUUGCUCCCGGGUGGCGAGUGGCGCACGGGUGAGUAAUACAUCGGAACGUGUCCUGUUGUGGGGGAUAACUGCUCGAAAGGGUGGCUAAUACCGCAUGAGACCUGAGGGUGAAAGCGGGGGAUCGCAAGACCUCGCGCAAUUGGAGCGGCCGAUGCCCGAUUAG
rnacentral:rRNA from 1 species